UACAGAGGUCCCAAGCGUUGUUCGGAUUCACUGGGCGUAAAGGGUGCGUAGGUGGUUAGGUAAGUCCGAUGUGAAAUCUCCAGGCUCAACCUGGAAAUGGCAUUGGAUACUAUCUAGCUUGAGGAGUGGAGGGGGGACUGGAAUUCUCGGUGUAGCAGUGAAAUGCGUAGAUAUCGAGAGGAACACCAGUGGCGAAGGCGAGUCCCUGGACACUUCCUGACGCUGAGGCACGAAAGCCAGGGGAGCAAACGGG
rnacentral:rRNA from 1 species